rnacentral:rRNA from 1 species
GAUCUUGGUUCAGGAUGAACGCUAGCUACAGGCUUAACACAUGCAAGGUCGAGGGGUAGCAGGGUAGCAAUACCGCUGACGACCGGCGCACGGGUGAGUAACACGUAUCCAACCUUCCCAUAACUCAGGGAUAGCCUUUCGAAAGAAAGAUUAAUACCUGAUAGUACUUUUUCAAGGCAUCUUGAGAAAGUUAAAGAUUUAUUGGUUAUGGAUGGGGAUGCGUUCCAUUAGAUAGUUGGUGAGGUAACGGCUCACCAAGUCUUCGAUGGAUCGGGGUUCUGAGAGGAAGGUCCCCCACAUUGGUACUGAGACACGGACCAAACUCCUACGGGAGGCAGCAGUGAGGAAUAUUGGUCAAUGGGCGAGAGCCUGAACCAGCCAAGUAGCGUGAAGGAUGAAGGUCCUAUGGAUUGUAAACUUCUUUUAUAGUAGAAUAAAGUGAUCCACGUGUGGAUUUUUGUAUGUAUACUAUGAAUAAGGAUCGGCUAACUCCGUGCCAGCAGCCGC